AAGGCUUUAAGUUAAAUAAACUAAUAGCCUUCAAAGCUAUAAAUAGAGGCACUAAUUCUUUAAGCCUUA
rnacentral:tRNA from 1 species